CACGUAGGGCGCAAGCGUUGUCCGGAAUUAUUGGGCGUAAAGAGCUCGUAGGCGGUCUGUUGCGUCCGCUGUGAAAACUCGGGGCUUAACCCCGAGCCUGCAGUGGAUACGGGCAGACUAGAGGUAGGUAGGGGAGAAUGGAAUUCCCGGUGUAGCGGUGAAAUGCGCAGAUAUCUGGAGGAACACCGGUGGCGAAGGCGGCAUCCUGGACCAACACUGACGCUGAUGAGCGAAAGCCAGGGGAGCAAACGGG
rnacentral:rRNA from 1 species